CGACAGGUGGUUGGGUAGAGAAUACCAAGGCGCUUGAGAGAACUCGGGUGAAGGAACUAGGCAAAAUGGCACCGUAACUUCGGGAGAAGGUGCGCCGGUGAGGGUGAAGGACUUGCUCCGUAAGCUCAUGCCGGUCGAAGAUACCAGGCCGCUGCGACUGUUUAUUAAAAACACAGCACUCUGCAAACACGAAAGUGGACGUAUAGGGUGUGACGCCUCCCCGGUGCCGGAAGGUUAAUUGAUGGGGUUAGCUAACGCGAAGCUCUUGAUCGAAGCCCCGGUAAACGGCGGCCGUAACUAUAACGGUCCUAAGGUAGCGAAACUCCUUGUCGGGUAAGUUCCGACCUGCACGAAUGGCGUAACGAUGGCGGCGCUGUCUCCACCCGAGACUCAGUGAAAUUGAAAUCGCUGUGAAGAUGCAGUGUAUCCGCGGCUAGACGGAAAGACCCCGUGAACCUUUACUAUAGCUUUGCACUGGACUUUGAAUUUGCUUGUGUAGGAUAGGUGGGAGGCUUUGAAGUGUGGACGCCAGUCUGCAUGGAGCCAACCUUGAAAUACCACCCUGGCAACUUUGAGGUUCUAACUCAGGUCCGUUAUCCGGAUCGAGGACAGUGUAUGGUGGGUAGUUUGACUGGGGCGGUCUCCUCCUAAAGAGUAACGGAGGAGUACGAAGGUGCGCUCAGACCGGUCGGAAAUCGGUCGUAGAGUAUAAAGGCAAAAGCGCGCUUGACUGCGAGACAGACACGUCGAGCAGGUACGAAAGUAGGUCUUAGUGAUCCGGUGGUUCUGUAUGGAAGGGCCAUCGCUCAACGGAUAAAAGGUACUCCGGGGAUAACAGGCUGAUACCGCCCAAGAGUUCAUAUCGACGGCGGUGUUUGGCACCUCGAUGUCGGCUCAUCACAUCCUGGGGCUGAAGCCGGUCCCAAGGGUAUGGCUGUUCGCCAUUUAAAGUGGUACGCGAGCUGGGUUCAGAACGUCGUGAGACAGUUCGGUCCCUAUCUGCCGUGGACGUUUGAGAUUUGAGAGGGGCUGCUCCUAGUACGAGAGGACCGGAGUGGACGAACCUCUGGUGUUCCGGUUGUCACGCCAGUGGCAUUGCCGGGUAGCUAUGUUCGGAAUAGAUAACCGCUGAAAGCAUCUAAGCGGGAAACUAGCCUCAAGAUGAGAUCUCACUGGAACCUUGAGUUCCCUGAAGGGCCGUCGAAGACUACGACGUUGAUAGGUUGGGUGUGUAAGCGCUGUGAGGCGUUGAGCUAACCAAUACUAAUUGCCCGUGAGGCUUGACCAA
rnacentral:rRNA from 1 species